UCUAGAGGAACACGCACCUUCCGACAUGGGCAGGACCUUUUUCUUAGUUUUUCUUCUUGUCUGCUGCAUGGCAUUCACUGCUGAAGCCUUCUGGGGCACAACUUGUCCCUGGGGUACCUGGCCGACUGGAGCCAGUUGUCACAUCUGGCAAGGAUGCAAAUUCGGCUUCUGUUACGCUCCAUUUGGAAAGUGGGGCAUUUGUUGUAGGAAGCGCGGAAUUUACUGAGUCCUCCAGGCAUCGGUGACUUGUUUAACUAUUGUUGAAGAGUGAAAAAAUAAAAGAACAUUGCUAUGCA